rnacentral:rRNA from 1 species
CGUGCUUAACACAUGCAAGUCGAACGGAAAGGCCCUGCUUUUGUGGGGUGCUCGAGUGGCGAACGGGUGAGUAACACGUGAGUAACCUGCCCUUGACUUUGGGAUAACUUCAGGAAACUGGGGCUAAUACCGGAUAGGAGCUCCUGCUGCAUGGUGGGGGUUGGAAAGUUUCGGCGGUUGGGGAUGGACUCGCGGCUUAUCAGCUUGUUGGUGGGGUAGUGGCUUACCAAGGCUUUGACGGGUAGCCGGCCUGAGAGGGUGACCGGCCACAUUGGGACUGAGAUACGGCCCAGACUCCUACGGGAGGCAGCAGUGGGGAAUAUUGCACAAUGGGCGGAAGCCUGAUGCAGCAACGCCGCGUGCGGGAUGACGGCCUUCGGGUUGUAAACCGCUUUCGCCUGUGACGAAGCGUGAGUGACGGUAAUGGGUAAAGAAGCACCGGCUAACUACGUGCCAGCAGCCGCGGUGAUACGUAGGGUGCGAGCGUUGUCCGGAUUUAUUGGGCGUAAAGGGCUCGUAGGUGGUUGAUCGCGUCGGAAGUGUAAUCUUGGGGCUUAACCCUGAGCGUGCUUUCGAUACGGGUUGACUUGAGGAAGGUAGGGGAGAAUGGAAUUCCUGGUGGAGCGGUGGAAUGCGCAGAUAUCAGGAGGAACACCAGUGGCGAAGGCGGUUCUCUGGGCCUUUCCUGACGCUGAGGAGCGAAAGCGUGGGGAGCGAACAGGCUUAGAUACCCUGGUAGUCCACGCUGUAAACGGUGGGUACUAGGUGUGGGGUCCAUUCCACGGGUUCCGUGCCGUAGCUAACGCUUUAAGUACCCCGCCUGGGGAGUACGGCCGCAAGGCUAAAACUCAAAGGAAUUGACGGGGCCCCGCACAAGCGGCGGAGCAUGCGGAUUAAUUCGAUGCAACGCGUAGAACCUUACCUGGGUUUGACAUGGAUCGGGAGUGCUCAGAGAUGGGUGUGCCUCUUUUGGGGUCGGUUCACAGGUGGUGCAUGGCUGUCGUCAGCUCGUGUCGUGAGAUGUUGGGUUAAGUCCCGCAACGAGCGCAACCCUUGUUCACUGUUGCCAGCACGUUAUGGUGGGGACUCAGUGGAGACCGCCGGGGUCAACUCGGAGGAAGGUGGGGAUGACGUCAAGUCAUCAUGCCCCUUAUGUCCAGGGCUUCACGCAUGCUACAAUGGCUGGUACAGAGAGUGGCGAGCCUGUGAGGGUGAGCGAAUCUCGGAAAGCCGGUCUCAGUUCGGAUUGGGGUCUGCAACUCGACCUCAUGAAGUCGGAGUCGCUAGUAAUCGCAGAUCAGCAACGCUGCGGUGAAUACGUUCCCGGGGCUUGUACACACCGCCCGUCAAGUCAUGAAAGUUGGUAACACCCGAAGCCGGUGGCCUAACCGUUGUGGGGGAGCCGUCGAAGGUGGGACUGGUGAUUAGGACUAAGUC